AGUAUUUCUGCAGGCAGCACAAUGGUCAUCUUAUCCAUGUGAAUACUGCAGAGGAAAAUCUUUUCAUCGUUGACAUCCUACAGAAAACUAAAGCUUAUCACAGCUGGGUUGGAAUAUCGGACAUGGAUGUAGAGGGGAUAUGGCAGUGGUACGACACGUCACAAAAACCAAAUUUUACCUACUGGUACCCAGGGGAGCCAAAUGGAGGUCAACCUGAAGACUGUGGGGUUUAUGCUGUCCACCAUGACUAUAAAUGGAGUGAUUACCCAUGUGAUAGCCACUUGCAUCCAAUCUGUGAAACAAGCACUGAUGUUGUGGAUUCAAUUAUCGGCAAAUAAGAAAAUGAAUGUGAAAUAUAGCUGUAUAAUAUAACUAAUAAAUAUAUGAAUAAACAAG